GACGAACGCGGGCGGCGUGCCUAAUACAUGCAAGUAGAACGCUGAAGGAGGAGCUUGCUUCUCUGGAUGAGUUGCGAACGGGUGAGUAACGCGUAGGUAACCUGCCUGGUAGCGGGGGAUAACUAUUGGAAACGAUAGCUAAUACCGCAUAAGAGUAGAUGUUGCAUGACAUUUGCUUAAAAGGUGCAAUUGCAUCACUACCAGAUGGACCUGCGUUGUAUUAGCUAGUUGGUGGGGUAACGGCUCACCAAGGCGACGAUACAUAGCCGACCUGAGAGGGUGAUCGGCCACACUGGGACUGAGACACGGCCCAGACUCCUACGGGAGGCAGCAGUAGGGAAUCUUCGGCAAUGGACGGAAGUCUGACCGAGCAACGCCGCGUGAGUGAAGAAGGUUUUCGGAUCGUAAAGCUCUGUUGUAAGAGAAGAACGAGUGUGAGAGUGGAAAGUUCACACUGUGACGGUAUCUUACCAGAAAGGGACGGCUAACUACGUGCCAGCAGCCGCGGUAAUACGUAGGUCCCGAGCGUUGUCCGGAUUUAUUGGGCGUAAAGCGAGCGCAGGCGGUUAGAUAAGUCUGAAGUUAAAGGCUGUGGCUUAACCAUAGUACGCUUUGGAAACUGUUUAACUUGAGUGCAAGAGGGGAGAGUGGAAUUCCAUGUGUAGCGGUGAAAUGCGUAGAUAUAUGGAGGAACACCGGUGGCGAAAGCGGCUCUCUGGCUUGUAACUGACGCUGAGGCUCGAAAGCGUGGGGAGCAAACAGG
rnacentral:rRNA from 1 species